rnacentral:misc_RNA from 1 species
GAUGAAGAACGCAGCGAAAUGCGAUAAGUAAUGUGAAUUGCAGAAUUCAGUGAAUCACCGAAUCUUUGAACGCACCUUGCACCCUUUGGUAUUCCGAAGGGUAUGCUCGUUUGAGUGUCAUUGUACUCUCACACUUCUAAUUCCUUUCGGGAUUGGGAGCGGUGGACUUGGGUGUUGCUGCUUUAGUUGUGGCUCACCUCAAAUAAGUUAGUGCAACUCUUGGUUGGACAUAGUACGGCGUGAUAAGUGUCUUCGCCGGCGCCUCUGUAAGGAGGGUGGCCGAUCGGGAGCUCUGUGCUUCAAACCGUCUUCGGACAAUCUUUGACAACUUGACCUCAAAUCGAGUAGGACUACCCGCUGAACUUAAGCAUAUCAAUAAGCGGAGGA